AAACUCGAGCAGAAACGCCGACUUGUUUUUUUCAAGUUUCUGCACGUUGUGACAGUCGUCUCGCAUUGUUCGCGCAAUGUUAGGCACCAUCUGUUUUACGCGGUUUGUUCCGCGACCAAUAUCUUCUACGCACUGUUUGUCCGUGCAA
rnacentral:misc_RNA from 1 species